rnacentral:rRNA from 1 species
GGGACACGUGGUAUCCUGUCUGAAUAUGGGGGGACCAUCCUCCAAGGCUAAAUACUCCUGACUGACCGAUAGUGAACCAGUACCGUGAGGGAAAGGCGAAAAGAACCCCGGCGAGGGGAGUGAAAAAGAACCUGAAACCGUGUACGUACAAGCAGUGGGAGCCUCUUAAUGGGGUGACUGCGUACCUUUUGUAUAAUGGGUCAGCGACUUAUAUUCUGUAGCAAGGUUAACCGAAUAGGGGAGCCGAAGGGAAACCGAGUCUUAACUGGGCGUUAAGUUGCAGGGUAUAGACCCGAAACCCGGUGAUCUAGCCAUGGGCAGGUUGAAGGUUGGGUAACACUAACUGGAGGACCGAACCGACUAAUGUUGAAAAAUUAGCGGAUGACUUGUGGCUGGGGGUGAAAGGCCAAUCAAACCGGGAGAUAGCUGGUUCUCCCCGAAAGCUAUUUAGGUAGCGCCUCGUGAAUUCAUCUCCGGGGGUAGAGCACUGUUUCGGCAAGGGGGUCAUCCCGACUUACCAACCCGAUGCAAACUGCGAAUACCGGAGAAUGUUAUCACGGGAGACACACGGCGGGUGCUAACGUCCGUCGUGAAGAGGGAAACAACCCAGACCGCCAGCUAAGGUCCCAAAGUCAUGGUUAAGUGGGAAACGAUGUGGGAAGGCCCAGACAGCCAGGAUGUUGGCUUAGAAGCAGCCAUCAUUUAAAGAAAGCGUAAUAGCUCACUGGUCGAGUCGGCCUGCGCGGAAGAUGUAACGGGGCUAAACCAUGCACCGAAGCUGCGGCAGCGACACUAUGUGUUGUUGGGUAGGGGAGCGUUCUGUAAGCCUGUGAAGGUGGCCUGUGAGGGUUGCUGGAGGUAUCAGAAGUGCGAAUGCUGACAUAAGUAACGAUAAAGCGGGUGAAAAGCCCGCUCGCCGGAAGACCAAGGGUUCCUGUCCAACGUUAAUCGGGGCAGGGUGAGUCGACCCCUAAGGCGAGGCCGAAAGGCGUAGUCGAUGGGAAACAGGUUAAUAUUCCUGUACUUGGUGUUACUGCGAAGGGGGGACGGAGAAGGCUAUGUUGGCCGGGCGACGGUUGUCCCGGUUUAAGCGUGUAGGCUGGUUUUCCAGGCAAAUCCGGAAAACCAAGGCUGAGGCGUGAUGACGAGGCACUACGGUGCUGAAGCGACAAAUGCCCUGCUUCCAGGAAAAGCCUCUAAGCAUCAGGUAACAUCAAAUCGUACCCCAAACCGACACAGGUGGUCAGGUAGAGAAUACCAAGGCGCUUGAGAGAACUCGGGUGAAGGAACUAGGCAAAAUGGUGCCGUAACUUCGGGAGAAGGCACGCUGAUAUGUAGGUGAAGCGACUUGCUCGUGGAGCUGAAAUCAGUCGAAGAUACCAGCUGGCUGCAACUGUUUAUUAAAAACACAGCACUGUGCAAACACGAAAGUGGACGUAUACGGUGUGACGCCUGCCCGGUGCCGGAAGGUUAAUUGAUGGGGUUAGCGGCAACGCGAAGCUCUUGAUCGAAGCCCCGGUAAACGGCGGCCGUAACUAUAACGGUCCUAAGGUAGCGAAAUUCCUUGUCGGGUAAGUUCCGACCUGCACGAAUGGCGUAAUGAUGGCCAGGCUGUCUCCACCCGAGACUCAGUGAAAUUGAACUCGCUGUGAAGAUGCAGUGUACCCGCGGCAAGACGGAAAGACCCCGUGAACCUUUACUAUAGCUUGACACUGAACAUUGAGCCUUGAUGUGUAGGAUAGGUGGGAGGCUUUGAAGUGUGGACGCCAGUCUGCAUGGAGCCGACCUUGAAAUACCACCCUUUAAUGUUUGAUGUUCUAACGUUGGCCCGUAAUCCGGGUUGCGGACAGUGUCUGGUGGGUAGUUUGACUGGGGCGGUCUCCUCCUAAAGAGUAACGGAGGAGCACGAAGGUUGGCUAAUCCUGGUCGGACAUCAGGAGGUUAGUGCAAUGGCAUAAGCCAGCUUGACUGCGAGCGUGACGGCGCGAGCAGGUGCGAAAGCAGGUCAUAGUGAUCCGGUGGUUCUGAAUGGAAGGGCCAUCGCUCAACGGAUAAAAGGUACUCCGGGGAUAACAGGCUGAUACCGCCCAAGAGUUCAUAUCGACGGCGGUGUUUGGCACCUCGAUGUCGGCUCAUCACAUCCUGGGGCUGAAGUAGGUCCCAAGGGUAUGGCUGUUCGCCAUUUAAAGUGGUACGCGAGCUGGGUUUAGAACGUCGUGAGACAGUUCGGUCCCUAUCUGCCGUGGGCGCUGGAGAACUGAGGGGGGCUGCUCCUAGUACGAGAGGACCGGAGUGGACGCAUCACUGGUGUUCGGGUUGUCAUGCCAAUGGCACUGCCCGGUAGCUAAAUGCGGAAGAGAUAAGUGCUGAAAGCAUCUAAGCACGAAACUUGCCCCGAGAUGAGUUCUCCCUGACUCCUUGAGGGUCCUGAAGGAACGUUGAAGACGACGACGUUGAUAGGCCGGGUGUGUAAGCGCAGCGAUGCGUUGAGCUAACCGGUACUAAUGAACCGUGAGGCUUAACCUUACAACGCCGAAG